rnacentral:rRNA from 1 species
AUGGUUUCGGUAGCAAACCGCAAGGCACGGCUGGUGGAGCGUUCGAUGGGAUUUUUGUUCCCAGCGGUGGAAACCAUGCAUCAUAUUCUCCUGCGAUGCCGUUUGGCUGGGGCAGUUUGGGCUAAGCUGGGACUUCACCAGACAGCAGUAUCUUUGGCCGCAGCUCAGGAACUGCUAUGCUCUGAACAAGCAAGAACCACGCAUGGAAGACUAUGGCACGUGCUGUUUGCUGCCUGCUCUGUAGCCUUGUGGACUGCCAGAAACGCACGGAUCUUUGACAGGAACUCCUGGGGUGCUGGCCGUGCCUUCAAGGAAAUUGCUGACCUUCUCAACCUAUGGAGCAUGCGAGCUCGUCUCCAGCCGGAUAGAGAACUGCUACUGCACUGGGCUAGUCUGUUCUCCGCUACUUAA